rnacentral:rRNA from 1 species
AUUGAACGCUGGCGGCAUGCUUUACACAUGCAAGUCGAACGGCAGCGCGGGCUUCGGCCUGGCGGCGAGUGGCGAACGGGUGAGUAAUACAUCGGAACGUGCCCAGUAGUGGGGGAUAGCUCGGCGAAAGCCGGAUUAAUACCGCAUACGACCUGAGGGUGAAAGCGGGGGAUCUUCGGACCUCGCGCUCUUGGAGCGGCCGAUGGCAGAUUAGCUAGUUGGUGGGGUAAAGGCCUACCAAGGCGACGAUCUGUAGCUGGUCUGAGAGGACGACCAGCCACACUGGGACUGAGACACGGCCCAGACUCCUACGGGAGGCAGCAGUGGGGAAUGUUGGACAAUGGGCGAAAGCCUGAUCCAGCAAUGCCGCGUGUGUGAUGAAGGCCUUCGGGUUGUAAAGCACUUUUGGCGGGAACGAAAAGGACUGUGCCAAUACCACGGUUCGAUGACGGUACCCGCAGAAUAAGCACCGGCUAACUACGUG